rnacentral:rRNA from 1 species
AUACGGAGGGUGCAAGCGUUAAUCGGAAUUACUGGGCGUGAAGCGCGCGUAGGCGGUUUGAUCAGUCGGAUGUGAAAGCCCUGGGCUCAACCUGGGAACUGCAUUCGAUACUGUCAGACUAGAAUAUGGUAGAGGGUAGUGGAAUUCCUGGUGUAGCGGUGAAAUGCGUAGAUAUCAGGAGGAACAUCAGUGGCGAAGGCGGCUACCUGGACCAAUAUUGACGCUGAGGUGCGAAAGCGUGGGGAGCAAACAGGAUUAGAAACCCUAGUAGUCC